rnacentral:rRNA from 1 species
ACCCGCACAAGCGGUGGAUGAUGUGGUUUAAUUCGAUGCAACGCGAAAAACCUUACCCACCUUUGACAUGUACGGAAUCCUUUAGAGAUAGAGGGGUGCUCGAAAGAGAGCCGUAACACAGGUGCUGCAUGGCUGUCGUCAGCUCGUGUCGUGAGAUGUUGGGUUAAGUCCCGCAACGAGCGCAACCCUUGUCAUUAGUUGCUACAUUUGGUUGGGCACUCUAAUGAGACUGCCGGUGACAAGCCGGAGGAAGGUGGGGAUGACGUCAAGUCCUCAUGGCCCUUAUAGGUGGGGCUACACACGUCAUACAAUGGCUGGUACAAAGGGUUGCCAACCCGCGAGGGGGAGCUAAUCCCACAAAGCCAGUCGUAGUCCGGAUCGUAGUCUGCAACUCGACUACGUGAAGUCGGAAUCGCUAGUAAUCGUGGAUCAGAAUGUCACGGUGAAUACGUUCCCGGGUCUU